UUUCGCAUUCGACUUAAGAAAAGAAGAUGCUCCACGAAUCGUGCAGGCCUUUUUUUAGAUGGUGCUGGCAAAACCGAGCCAUGGAUCAGAAGCACAAAGGGAAGGCUUCCCCAAGUGUCUAUAGCAUGCACAACACCCGUGCAACUAUUGGAGCACCCAACGAUAAAAAUGAUUGGCAACAUGACGUAGCGAUCAAAAUACCAAGGUUUCCAACAUUGUACCCCCACAAACACUUGGAUAAGAGGAGGGGCGGUACAAACAACAUCAUUGAACGUUCUUAUUCCAAACCGGGUCCGUUUUCCACGAAGGCAACAUGAAACCUAGCGAAAUUCUCCGCAUAGGUGAGAAAAAGUUAUGGUACUCGUCAGUUGGCCGCAACAAAGCGGGGAGCCUGACAUAGCACACACAUCAACAACCACUCACAUGCCGUCACGGUCACAACCCAGCAAAGCCCUCCGCCUUUCCCCCAAACGUAGAAAAA
rnacentral:rRNA from 1 species